rnacentral:rRNA from 1 species
AUUGAACGCUGGCGGCAGGCCUAACACAUGCAAGUCGAACGAGUGGCGGACGGGUGAGUAAUGUCUGGGAAACUGCCUGAUGGAGGGGGAUAACUACUGGAAACGGUAGCUAAUACCGCAUACUAUCAGAUGUGCCCAGAUGGGAUUAGCUUGUUGGUGGGGUAACGGCUCACAAAGGCGACGAUCCCUGGCUGGUCUGAGAGGAUGACAGGCCAAUCUGGAACGGGAGCACGGCCCGAACCCCUAGGGGGGGCAGCAGGGGGGAUUAUGGCACAAUGGGCGAAAGCCGAUUGCAGCAAUGCCGCGUGUAGAAAGAUGGCCUUCGGGUUGUAAAGUACUUUCGGCGGGGAGACGUUACCCGCAGAAGAAGCACCGGCUAACUCCGUGCCAGCAGCCGCGGUAUUC